GAAAUUUCUCAUAUAUUAAAUCAACUUGGUUGCAUUACAAAGGACACGAUACAAAGAUUACAACAUGUGAAGCUAGUAGUAAUCCUACUGUUGACCUUGCAACCAACGUCUCAGCCAUUCUGAAACAUUGACACCGAAAAUAUCUGAAACAUAAUGAUUGAAACAUUGGCACUGGACAUGGAAUUCUAAGACACAAUGUGAAACUAUCUAAUAGCACUCCUAUUCUUGACCAAUAUCUGAGCCAUGCAUCAUCGAAUACAGCAAUCUACAACAAAGAAACGAAAUAGGUUAAUAGGGCAAAAAAAUUGGAAGGAGGAGCAACAUGGAAAGGUCGAAGGCAAUGUGAUAGUUAAUCUUGCUGCAUGACUAAUAAUUUUGACUCUUUUUAGUAGUUAUAAAAACUUGUAAGAUUUUGCUAAUGUAGCAUCAACGCGCAAUACCAAGAAUUCAUUACCAAGUUUAACAUCAUCAACUUUAGAUUUAUAUUCGGGGUCGAUACUUUGGAUUAAAGUAAGAGGAGCAUUGUUGUUCGGAUGUGUCCAGUAUAAUAUUUGUAGCUAACAAUAGUCAUUUUAGCUUACAGUACACUAACUCAGCCUGUUUCAUUAGUAAGUUUCACCCUGUUAACAGAAACAAAGUGUUUUAUAGGGGUGGGAAAAUGUAAGGCAGGCAUAAAGUAGUUGAUGAAUUGUUUAACCUAAUCUAACCGAAAUGAGUCUUAUCUCACAGAAGCAGUGUUCUCUUGUACAAAUUAGGUAGGAAAAAAAAGAGAAGCAUGUGUAAGAUAAUAAAAUGUAGUCAAGUAAUGCUAUUAAUACUCCAAACUUUCCAUUCGAUCUGGUGAAGAAUCAUUCACGCAAUAUAGAACUACUAUCAGAAAAUACCUCCUAGUAAAUCCAGCUUGGCACUAAUAUGUUUUAGCGCCAGCAACAUCGACUUGGAACAAUCUAGUCUCUGUAACCUGCUGAUUUGGCAUAUGCAUUAGUAAUCUAUGUUCGGUUGUGCUCACUGAAUCGAUGGCAUCAAAAUAGCCGAACACAUGUGUACGAAAAAUUUAGCGUACUCUUUAUUCUUUUAUAUCAGAACUCUUACAUAAGCUUGCUUUUUUACGGAAAAACUCUUGCACGACCUGGUUCCAUGAUAUGACCUGCUACAUGGCCAAAGCAAUCCAAACCUACGCUGACUUAAUAGCAUCUAGAACGACUCAGACUGCAGUGCCCUUUUACUAGACUAGUAAGGCAUGCUGAGUCCAAGACAUACUAGUACAGCAUGUAGGCUACUAGCUAUGCAAACUCAUUGAACCAUAUAUGGACUACAGAACACAAAUGCUUACGACAUGCAAACGAGACAUGUUGGAAAACUAACUAAUCAACCUAUCAAAAUUAGACUCAAACUUGGCUAGUUAAACUAGCAUGGACACCUACCAAACUACUUAAAAUGAUUCUAACAAUUUAGAAGACCACACCAUUAGUGCAGUGCCAGGCUGCCAACGUAUCAGUAUAUGCCAACAUUUACUAAAUAGGUUUCGCUUUCUUAGUUCACUUGUUUACCGAGAACAUGGAAACUUAGAGCAGUUCCAGUAUGCUCUUCUUUGUCACCAUGGUUGCCGGAUGCUCAAACUGUUGGCCUGAAUAGGUAGAGGAGAAGGUUCUAAGUAUUACAGAGAAGAGGAGAUCCUAGUAAGAUCCAAUAGUUUGGGAUCAGUGAAUUCGACGUACCUGACACACUUGCACAGUCGCCGUAUCUGAUCGCUUAGGUGUCUGUUUAUGCUUGUUAGUAACAUCCCACCACCAUAGUGUGCCUG
rnacentral:lncRNA from 1 species